GGGAGUAGUUUAGUGGUAAAACAUCAGCUUCCCAAGCUGAAUUUGGGGGUUCGAUUCCCCUCUUCCG
rnacentral:tRNA from 1 species